AGUUGUAGUACGAAUCCAGUCAGGGUUGGAACCAUGGCGGUGACCAAGGAGCUCUUACAGAUGGACCUGUACGCGCUGCUAGGUAUCGAGGAGAAAGCAGCGGACAAAGAGGUGAAGAAGGCAUAUAGGCAGAAGGCCCUCUCCUGCCACCCAGACAAAAAUCCGGAUAAUCCCAGAGCAGCUGAGCUCUUCCACCAGCUUUCUCAGGCCUUGGAGGUACUGACCGAUGCUGCAGCCAGGGCUGCAUAUGACAAGGUCAGGAAAGCCAAGAAGCAGGCAGCAGAGAGGACCCAGAAACUUGAUGAGAGAAGGAAGAAAGUGAAGCUUGACCUGGAGGCCCGAGAGCGGCAGGCCCAGGCCCAUGGCAGUGAGGAGGAGGAGGAGAGCCGGAGCACCAGGACAUUGGAGCAGGAGAUUGAACGCCUUCGGGAAGAGGGUUCCCGGCAGCUGGAGGAACAGCAGAGGCUGAUCCAGGAGCAGAUACGCCAGGAACGGGAGCAGAGGUUGAGAGGAAAGGCAGAAAAUCCUGAAGGCAGAGGAACCCCCAAGCUAAAGCUAAAAUGGAAGUGCAAGAAAGAAGAUGAGUCAAAAGGCGGCUACUCCAGAGAUGUCCUCCUACAGCUUUUCCAGAAGGCUGAGCCAUGCUUACUGGGACCCCCUUGUCCUCACAGUAUGGAGAGGUGCUCCACCUGGUGCUUUCCAGUAAGAAGGCUGGCACUGCCGUGGUGGAGUUUGCAACCAUCAAGGCUGCGGAGCUGGCUGUCCAAAAUGAAGUGGGCCUGGUCGAUAACCCUCUGAAGAUUUCCUGGUUGGAGGGACAGCCCCAGGAUGUGGGGGGCCCCAGCCACCCAGGACUGUCACAGGGCUCAGUGCUGUCCGAGAGGGACUAUGAGAGCCUCGUCAUGAUGCGCAUGCGCCAGGCGGCUGAGCGUCAACAGCUGAUCACCCAGAUGCAGCGGGAGGAUGAGGUGGGGCAGCCCACGUAGCCUCCUGCCUCCAGCCCACAGCCCACUCACCCACGGCCCUCUUCUUGAACGUCACCAAUAAACUUUUUUCUUUUUUUUUUUUUUAACAAGAGUCUACCUCUAUUGUAUCUGUAGGUGUUGGGUGCUGGCCCGCCCAAGCGUGGCCCUGGUGGGCUCUGCCUGAGAGGGUUCCACCCAGGCCUGGCUCUUCCUCCCCAGGCGUGAGCAGACCCCCAGGGAGGUGCUCUGCACGGUGAGAGUCAGUGAGCCGGCAGAGCAGAGGGGCAACCACUCAUCACAGGCCUUUAUUGGCUUGGACUAGCUACACAGGACCCUCCCGCCCAGUCCUGGGGCCGUGCUCCUGGGGGGGCUCCCAGUUCCUGGCCAGGGACAGCCUGGCUCUUUCGGGCCCCUCAGCCUGCCCACAGGACAUGGCCUCCUCCAGGGCUCUCAGCCAGGCCGAGAAGCUGGAGGGGCAGCUGGGAGCACCAGGGCAAGGGCCCUGCCCUCUCCCCCUGGCUGAGGCACGUUUCAGAAAAGGCCAUUCACUGCCCAGUGGGGCCAGGCUAAGGAAAAAGACAAUUUGGGAAGAGAGUGAAUGGGGACUCAGGAUCAGGGCCCACGGCAACCGCUCAAGAAAGGGGUGCUCUGUGUGCUCCUCAGUGGGAGCGGUCACUCCUUGUGCAGGCACCACACCAGCGUCUGGCCCACCCCCGUCAUGCUCAGCACACGGAAGCCCCUGCGUUCCAGUUUGUCCAGGACGAUGCGAGGAGGAUCGCUGACAAAGUACUCAUAACUGUGAAGAGAAGGGGGGGGAAGGACAGCCUGAGGGGGCACAGAGCGCCGAUUCCUCGCACACAGCUAAUGUCUGCUGCUGAGGAGGCCUGGUCAGGGAUCCUGGUAGUGACUGGUAUUGGCUGCGUGCCUUCUAGGUGCCCGGCUAAGUGCACACUCCCUGCCCCCUCCCCUGCCAAGCACUUGACUUGUAUAGCUUGUUUCUUCCUCCCGACAACCUAAGGAAGGUUCCCAUUUUAUAAAUAAGAAAUCUUGGGAGGGGAUGGGUAGCUUUCCAAAUGUCCUAUGGAUUGUAGAGCCCAUGUUAGUCUGAUGACAGCCCCAUGUGCGCUGGGCCACUGCACUAUUCAGGAGGAAUGGCCUGUUCUCUCCAGGGUCCUCCCCCACGGCUCUGCCCCCUCUUGCUGCCCUGCCUGUCCCACAGUCCUGGAGCAACAGGUUGGCCCCUAAUAGCUCCUGGCUCUGGGUGCUGCCCCCCUAACACAGAAUGCUGUCCCUUCUUUCAGGGUUGAUUGAUUAUGAAGGGUUGUCAGGUAAAGGGCUCAAGCCCCAAGCUGGGCAUCUUGAGACAAGUGCCUCGUGGUAAAGGAAUGGGGUUGGCUUCAGCCCUCCAACCCUGACCCAAGGGGCUGGGGCCAGCUUGCCUCCUCUUUCCCCUCUUUGAACUGGGGCUCAUUCUUGGAGCACUUCUCACGAGUUCCACACCUGUGGAGCUGGUGUGAACGCCAGGGGACGUGGCCAAGUCCCCAGGCAGCAGCUGAGCUGGAAGGAGGACCCAGGCUGCCUGCUGCCUGUUUGUAGAGUUCAGCUUUCUUACUCAGCCAGCUCGAGAGAAACCUUUCCCUCUGUGCCUUUCUUUGUCUUGGUGGGGUCCAGCUCCGAGAUGAGAGGGCAGGGCAAGGAACAGUCCACUUAUGGAGUCCUCUACCAGCUGGACUCUGUCCUGGGGUUCCCUUGUGAAGGGAGGGCCAGUGAGAGCUUUCAGAGCAAGCCUGGGAGCUGCGGUGAAGCUGCAGACAGGACUGACCCCACAGAGGACAGAUCCCCAUGAUGCAGGCAGGGCCUCUGACGCUAGGCAGUGGCGUCAUCCCUGGGCUUGGCUGCGUAAAGGAAAUGGGCAGGUCUCGGGGCCGGCAGGGAGAAGAUCCUUAGGAAUGCCACUACUUACAAGUUGUUUCCCAAGGCGCUUCUCUUUGAGGCCCCCAGAUACUGCAUCAGCUCUGGAUCUGAGUGCUCAUCGCCCACCAUGGUAGGGCCCACCUCCUGCAAGAUAAGCCACAGUGGCUGCUUGGCUGGCUGCCAGGGAGAGGUGGAGGGUCUCUCUGUCCUUCCUCCCCUGCCUGCUGGCCCUGAGCCAGUUUCAGUUCAAGGCCGGACAGGGUGCAGAGGAACACUGGGGGCUGAGCACGAGCUGGGAAAGGGUGGAGCCCUCAGUGAGCAGGCCUGGCAAUGUGAGGCGUCCCUGGCCGCUCCAAGCUGAGCUGGACAUUGCCUGCCUCCUGGCAACUUCCUGCCAGGUAUCACUAUCCAUGUUUGUAUGUGUCAGAAUCACCUGGAAAACAGAAAUGAAAACAGGUCCACACAAAAACUUGUACAGGAGUGUUCAUAGCAGCAUUAUGCACAAGACCCCAAAAGGGGAAACAGCCUAAGUGUUUGUCAACUGACGCGUGAAUAAACUGUGAUGUAGCUAGACGAUGGGAUCUUAUUUGGCAAAACAGGAAUGAGUACCGACGCAUCCUACAAUACGGAUGAACCUUGAAAACGUAAAAGUGAAAGAAGCCAGGCAUGAAAGUAGAUGAGUGGUUAUCUAGGGCUGGGGGGCUCAGAGGCAGUGAGGAGUGACUGCUAAGAUACAGGGCAUGGGUACAGGGUGUCUUUUCAAGGGGAUGGAAAUGUUCUAAAAUUGAUUAGGUGAUAGCUGUACAACUCCUGAGCAUGCUUUAACAAAAUACCGAAUUGUACACUUUAAAUUGGUGCAUUCUGUGACAUGUAUGCUAUAUAUCAGUAAAGCUGUUCUAUUUAUUAAAAAAAAAAAAUCCCCUGAAGAGCACUGAAUUCCCAAGCCUCAGGCUUAGAGAGUGUUUUGGAAGGUCUGGGAAGGGGCCCAGGAGUGCACAUUUUAACUGCCCAAGUAACUGGUUCUCAAACCACUGCCCUAGGG